rnacentral:rRNA from 1 species
UACGUAGGGUGCGAGCGUUGCCCGGAUUUAUUGGGCGUAAAGGGCGCGUAGGCGGCCACGCACGUCCGUUGUGAAAUCGCCCGGCUCAACUGGGCUAGGUCAGCGGAUACGGUGUGGCUCGAGCAAGCUAGGGGGCAAUGGAAUUCCCGGUGUAGUGGUGGAAUGCGUAGAUAUCGGGAGGAACACCGGUGGCGAAGGCGGUUCUCUGGGCCUUACCUGGACGCUGAGGAGCGAAAGCGUGGGGAGCGAACAGG